CAGUGGGGAAUAUUGCACAAUGGGCGAAAGCCUGAUGCAGCAACGCCGCGUGAGGGACGAAGGCCUUCGGGUUGUAAACCUCUUUUAGUAGGGAAGAAGCGAAAGUGACGGUACCUGCAGAAAAAGCACCGGCUAACUACGUGCCAGCAGCCGCGGUAAUACGUAGGGUGCAAGCGUUGUCCGGAAUUAUUGGGCGUAAAGAGCUCGUAGGCGGUUUGUCGCGUCUGCUGUGAAAACCCGAGGCUCAACCUCGGGCCUGCAGUGGGUACGGGCAGACUAGAGUGCGGUAGGGGAGGUUGGAAUUCCUGGUGUAGCGGUGGAAUGCGCAGAUAUCAGGAGGAACACCAAUGGCGAAGGCAGAUCUCUGGGCCGUAACUGACGCUGAGGAGCGAAAGCAUGGGGAGCGAACAGGAUUAGAUACCCUGGUAGUCCAUGCCGUAAACGUUGGGAACUAGAUGUGGGGACCAUUCCACGGUCUCCGUGUCGCAGCUAACGCAUUAAGUUCCCCGCCUGGGGAGUACGGCCGCAAGGCUAAAACUCAAAGGAAUUGACGGGGGCCCGCACAAGCGGCGGAGCAUGCGGAUUAAUUCGAUGCAACGCGAAGAACCUUACCAAGGCUUGACAUAUAGAGGAAGCGGCUGGAAACAGUCGCCCCGCAAGGUCUCUAUACAGGUGGUGCAUGGUUGUCGUCAGCUCGUGUC
rnacentral:rRNA from 1 species